rnacentral:pre_miRNA from 1 species
UUAAUUGAAAUUUGUGUGGAGUUGGAACGUUUGCCUACGUUUGCCGCUAAGGGCGCAACUGCAUACAAAUUUGAGUUA